GAGUGUCCGCUGUCAUCGAGUGAAAUGUGUUCAUGUUUGCCUGCGCGCGUGACACCAUGCUUGCUAAUUUUGUUAGUAAGCGCAUGUUUAUACGUUUAUACGGCUGAUAUAACUACUAUUCUGACUUCGUAUAACUGUCUAAUAAUUUGCUAUCGCAAUCGGUGCUUCGCGUUUCGGGCGAAACUGCAAAAUUUUGCUGUAUUUG
rnacentral:lncRNA from 1 species